UUUUAGUGUCAAAGACAACCUAAAUGUUAUGAGUGUGGUAACUACAUUAUGAUACAUAUGUUGAACAUUGUAUCUAGUGGUCUUGUUGAUUCAUGGAUGCGGAUAUUUGGAGAAUCAAAACCAUUCGAAGAUGAAGAAAUGAUGAAUGUCCGACAACGUUGUGCAAACUUGAUUCUUGAACUAAUAGAAAAUGCUUGAAGCACUUGUAUCA